UACGGGGGGAGCAAGCGUUGUUCGGAUUUACUGGGCGUAAAGGGCGCGUAGGCGGUCAGCACAAGUCAGUUGUGAAAUCUCCGGGCUUAACUCGGAAAGGUCAACUGAUACUGUGCGACUAGAGUGCGGAAGGGGCAACUGGAAUUCUCGGUGUAGCGGUGAAAUGCGUAGAUAUCGAGAGGAACACCUGCGGCGAAGGCAGCCUCCUGGGCCAAACACUGACGCUCAUGCACGAAGCGUGGAGCAAACAGG
rnacentral:rRNA from 1 species